rnacentral:tRNA from 2 species
AAGAGUAUAAUUUAAAGGUAAAAUAUUGGUCUCCAAAACCAAAUAUAAGGGUUCGAUUCCCUUUUCUCUUG